CGGAAUUACUGGGCGUAAAGCGCACGUAGGCGGAUCGGAAAGUUGGGGGUGAAAUCCCGGGGCUCAACCCCGGAACUGCCUCCAAAACUAUCGGUCUAGAGUUCGAGAGAGGUGAGUGGAAUUCCGAGUGUAGAGGUGAAAUUCGUAGAUAUUCGGAGGAACACCAGUGGCGAAGGCGGCUCACUGGCUCGAUACUGACGCUGAGGUGCGAAAGUGUGGGGAGCAAACAGGAUUAGAUACCCUGGUAGUCCACACCGUAAACGAUGAAUGCCAGUCGUCGGGUAGCAUGCUAUUCGGUGACACACCUAACGGAUUAAGCAUUCCGCCUGGGGAGUACGGUCGCAAGAUUAAAACUCAAAGGAAUUGACGGGGGCCCGCACAAGCGGUGGAGCAUGUGGUUUAAUU
rnacentral:rRNA from 1 species